rnacentral:rRNA from 1 species
CGAACGGGUGAGUAACACGUGAGGAACCUGCCCCGAAGACCGGGAUAACGCUCCGAAAGGAACGCUAAUACCGGAUACCUUCACUGGAUCGCAUGACCCGGUGAAGAAAUGGAUUCCGCUUCGGGAGGGUCUCGCGGCCUAUCAGCUUGUUGGUGGGGUAAUGGCCCACCAAGGCUUCGACGGGUAGCUGGUCUGAGAGGACGAUCAGCCACACUGGGACUGAGACACGGCCCAG